rnacentral:pre_miRNA from 1 species
UGGACAGAUUAUUGUAUUCGACUGUAUUCACGGUGUGAAACAUAGGAUUACACUGUUUUUAAAUGGAAAGUGAAUCAAUUAACAUAAUAGACUCCU